rnacentral:rRNA from 1 species
CAUGGCCGCGGGAUUGUGCCAGCAGCCGCGGUAAUACAGAGGGUGCAAGCGUUAAUCGGAAUUACUGGGCGUAAAGCGAGCGUAGGUGGCUUGAUAAGUCAGAUGUGAAAGCCCCGGGCUUAACCUGGGAACGGCAUCUGAUACUGUUAGGCUAGAGUAGGUGAGAGGAAGGUAGAAUUCCAGGUGUAGCGGUGAAAUGCGUAGAGAUCUGGAGGAAUACCGAUGGCGAAGGCAGCCUUCUGGCAUCAUACUGACACUGAGGUUCGAAAGCGUGGGUAGCAAACAGGAUUAGAUACCCUGGUAGUCCACGCCGUAAACGAUGUCUACUAGUCGUUGGGUCCCUUGAGGACUUAGUGACGCAGCUAACGCAAUAAGUAGACCGCCUGGGGAGUACGGCCGCAAGGUUAAAACUCAAAUGAAUUGACGGGGGCCCGCACAAGCGGUGGAGCAUGUGGUUUAAUUCGAUGCAACGCGAAGAACCUUACCUGGUCUUGACAUAUCUAGAAAUCCUGCAGAGAUGCGGGAGUGCCUUCGAGAAUUAGAAUACAGGUGCUGCAUGGCUGUCGUCAGCUCGUGUCGUGAGAUGUUGGGUUAAGUCCCGCAACGAGCGCAACCCUUGUCCUUAGUUACCAGCGGUUUGGCCGGGAACUCUAAGGAUACUGCCAGUGACAAACUGGAGGAAGGCGGGGACGACGUCAAGUCAUCAUGGCCCUUACGACCAGGGCUACACACGUGCUACAAUGGUUAGGUACAGAGGGCAGCUACACAGCGAUGUGAUGCGAAUCUCAAAAAGCCUAUCGUAGUCCAGAUUGGAGUCUGCAACUCGACUCCAUGAAGUAGGAAUCGCUAGUAAUCGCGGAUCAGAAUGCCGCGGUGAAUACGUUCCCGGGCCUUGUACACACCGCCCGUCACACCAUGGGAGUUGAUUGCACCAGAAGUGGUUAGCCUAACCUUUUAGGAAGGCGAUCACCACGGUGUGGUUGAUGACUGGGGUGAAGUCGUAACAAGGUAACCGAAUCACUAGUG